rnacentral:rRNA from 1 species
GAGACCCACGCCCACAGUUGCCAGCGUACUCUCYGGAGUGACGGGUACACUGUGGGGACCGCCGCUGCUAAAGCGGAGGAAGGAAUGGGCAACGGUAGGUCAGUAUGCCCCGAAUAUCCCGGGCUACACGCGGGCUACAAUGGUUGGUACAAUGGGUAUCUACCCCGAAAGGGGAUGGAAAUCUCCUAAAGCCAAUCUUAGUUCGGAUCGAGGGCUGUAACUCGCCCUCGUGAAGCUGGAAUCCGUAGUAAUCGCGUUUCAACAGAACGCGGUGAAUAC